rnacentral:rRNA from 1 species
UACGUAGGGGGCUAGCGUUGUCCGGAAUCAUUGGGCGUAAAGAGCGUGUAGGCGGUCCGGUAAGUCCGUUCUGAAAGUCCGGGGCUCAACCCCGGGAGGCGGAUGGAUACUGCUGGGCUCGAGUACGGAAGAGGCGAGUGGAAUUCCCGGUGUAGCGGUGAAAUGCGCAGAUAUCGGGAGGAACACCAAUGGCGAAGGCAGCUCGCUGGGACGUUACUGACGCUGAGACGCGAAAGCGUGGGGAGCGAACAGG